rnacentral:lncRNA from 1 species
CGACCUCGAUCACCACAUAUCUACAAAUCAUAAUCUACAAAUUCCGGAAAACAUACAGAUUUCAAUUGAAGUUGAAUUUCAUCAGGGUAUGCUGCAGUUUAUAUACAAGACCACAAGACAACAGAAAGAAGAGCUCAUGUUCAUACCCUGCAGAGAAAAAUGCACAUUAAAACAUAAAUAAUCUCAAAUCAAUCUGCAAAUUCAGGGUAUGAAAAGAGUUCAGACUAACCCAAAUUAAUAUGCAUCAGGGCCAUACAAAAACCAAUGACUUGACAGAGACUGACUGACAUAACAGAGUUAACAUUAGGCAAAGUACACAAUCUCAGUAAUUUGAUCUACCAUUUUUUGUCAUUCUUGUUCUUUUAGUUUAUCUUCAAGAUUCAACUGAAAGUAAGAAUGUAAGACUUUUAUUUUCUAUCCAC